GACGAACGCUGGCGGCGUGCCUAAUACAUGCAAGUAGAACGCUGAAGAGAGGAGCUUGCUCUUCUUGGAUGAGUUGCGAACGGGUGAGUAACGCGUAGGUAACCUGCCUUGUAGCGGGGGAUAACUAUUGGAAACGAUAGCUAAUACCGCAUAACAAUGGAUGACACAUGUCAUUUAUUUGAAAGGGGCAAUUGCUCCACUACAAGAUGGACCUGCGUUGUAUUAGCUAGUAGGUGAGGUAAUGGCUCACCUAGGCGACGAUACAUAGCCGACCUGAGAGGGUGAUCGGCCACACUGGGACUGAGACACGGCCCAGACUCCUACGGGAGGCAGCAGUAGGGAAUCUUCGGCAAUGGGGGCAACCCUGACCGAGCAACGCCGCGUGAGUGAAGAAGGUUUUCGGAUCGUAAAGCUCUGUUGUAAGUCAAGAACGGGUGUGAGAGUGGAAAGUUCACACUGUGACGGUAGCUUACCAGAAAGGGACGGCUAACUACGUGCCAGCAGCCGCGGUAAUACGUAGGUCCCGAGCGUUGUCCGGAUUUAUUGGGCGUAAAGCGAGCGCAGGCGGUUUGAUAAGUCUGAAGUUAAAGGCUGUGGCUCAACCAUAGUUCGCUUUGGAAACUGUCAAACUUGAGUGCAGAAGGGGAGAGUGGAAUUCCAUGUGUAGCGGUGAAAUGCGUAGAUAUAUGGAGGAACACCGGUGGCGAAAGCGGCUCUCUGGUCUGUAACUGACGCUGAGGCUCGAAAGCGUGGGGAGCGAACAGGAUUAGAUACCCUGGUAGUCCACGCCGUAAACGAUGAGUGCUAGGUGUUGGAUCCUUUCCGGGAUUCAGUGCCGCAGCUAACGCAUUAAGCACUCCGCCUGGGGAGUACGACCGCAAGGUUGAAACUCAAAGGAAUUGACGGGGGCCCGCACAAGCGGUGGAGCAUGUGGUUUAAUUCGAAGCAACGCGAAGAACCUUACCAGGUCUUGACAUCCCGAUGCUAUUUCUAGAGAUAGAAAGUUACUUCGGUACAUCGGUGACAGGUGGUGCAUGGUUGUCGUCAGCUCGUGUCGUGAGAUGUUGGGUUAAGUCCCGCAACGAGCGCAACCCCUAUUGUUAGUUGCCAUCAUUCAGUUGGGCACUCUAGCGAGACUGCCGGUAAUAAACCGGAGGAAGGUGGGGAUGACGUCAAAUCAUCAUGCCCCUUGUGACCUGGGCUACACACGUGCUACAAUGGUUGGUACAACGAGUUGCGAGUCGGUGACGGCGAGCUAAUCUCUUAAAGCCAAUCUCAGUUCGGAUUGUAGGCUGCAACUCGCCUACAUGAAGUCGGAAUCGCUAGUAAUCGCGGAUCAGCACGCCGCGGUGAAUACGUUCCCGGGCCU
rnacentral:rRNA from 1 species